UACGUAGGGGGCAAGCGUUGUCCGGAAUCAUUGGGCGUAAAGAGCGUGUAGGCGGCCCGAUAAGUCCGCUGUAAAAGUCCAGGGCUCAACCCUGGAAAGCCGGUGGAUACUGUCGGGCUAGAGUCCGGAAGAGGCGAGUGGAAUUCCUGGUGUAGCGGUGGAAUGCGCAGAUAUCAGGAGGAACACCAAUUGCGAAGGCAGCUCGCUGGGACGUUACUGACGCUGAGACGCGAAAGCGUGGGGAGCAAACAGG
rnacentral:rRNA from 1 species